rnacentral:rRNA from 1 species
UUCCGUAGGUGAACCUGCGGAAGGAUCAUUACCGAGAGAGGGGCUUUGUGCUCCCGGGGGUUUCGGCCCCCAACUCUUCACCCUUUGCGUACCUACCUUUGUUGCUUUGGCGCACCCGGGAAUUCUCUCGCGCCGACCUUAGGUCUGCGAGCGUCCGUCAGAGGCCCGUUUAAUCCUACUUAUUAGUGAUGUCCGAGUCCACACACAAUGAAUAAAAACUUUCAACAACGGAUCUCUUGGUUCCAGCAUCGAUGAAGAACGCAGCGAAAUGCGAUAAGUAAUGUGAAUUGCAGAAUUCAGUGAAUCAUCGAAUCUUUGAACGCACAUUGCGCCCCUCGGCAUUCCGGGGGGCAUGCCUGUUCGAGCGUCAUUGCACCCCUCAAGCGCAGCUUGGUAUUGGGCUCUCGCCCCCGUGGCGUGCCCGAAAAACAGUGGCGGUCCGGCGUGACUUUAAGCGUAGUAAAAUCUUCCCGCUCUGAAGCUCUCGCCGUGGCCGGCCAGACAACCCCAUUUGCUUCUAUAAUUGACCUCGGAUCAGGUAGGGAUACCCGCUGAACUUAA